CCACGUGCCCGCUAAGGCUUGCCAGGAGCUUAUGGUAUAAAUAAAUAACAUGGCUGACGGGCAAGCUGGGUGCAGCCCCGGAGGGAAAUCCUGCCCGUGCCUGCUGCCUCAGAAGGGAGAGGGUGACCGGACCUCCGGCCGGGAUCUCCUCUGGCCAGCUGAAGUUCAGGGUCCCUGAGCUCGGGAUAUCUUUUCCACCAUAAAUGUGGAGACCUACGCCAGAGGGAGACCGAGCCCCACCAGUGCCUGGGGUGCUGGACCCCCCGGCCACGCCGGCCCCAAGCUGGAAGUGUGUGGUUGUGAGGUAUUAUGGAAAAAAAAAAUGAACCCUUUUCUUUUCUUGCUAUUGUUAUUUUGUUUUGUCCAGUAAACCUGAGGUAAGUAUAGAUACCGUCUUUGCAGAAUGUGAUCAGGAAAAAAAAAAUAAUAAUAAAUCUAGACUAGGCUAUCAGGAAAACACAAAUAAACUGUACAUAAGGCUUUUCCAGUAAAUCAAAGUACUCGUCAUAUCUCCACUUAACCAUCUACUUCAAGAUUUGAAAUUUAAGCGGUAAAAUAAUAUAUUAUAAAAAUGUUUAUAAAAUAGCAGCACACAGUGAAACAUUACAGCUAAGAACUGUUAAUGUGAAUAAAAAUGAAACAAGUCGUAGCUUCUUAGCAGCGCAAACAAAAAAAACUGAACAAAUAAAAACGAACCCCAAAAAAAGGACAAUCGGGAGAUUUUUUUUUUUUAAAUCUCCAUUUUUCUACUCUCAUGGUUGCUCCACCAGGCAGCGUCGGUUUAUAAAAUAAUAAUUCUUCAAAAGUAUCACGUUCCUUUCGGUUUUCCAUUUUUCAACAAUGCAAACAUUAAUAUUCCCACCAACGUCAACUGUUAAGAAAAUUGUGCAAAAAAAAAAAAAAAAAAA